ACAAAGUUAUCGUCCUGUCAGGCAAUUAGGUUUUCACUUCAGGGACAGCCACACGGUGCAAUUAUGCCCCACAUUACCACCCGGCUAAUCUUCUGAACAGGCGCCGGUGAGAAGCUGCUCAUCCGCAAAGGGUGCAAUUAAGGAUUCAUAGAUGGGAAAUGCAGCCAAGGCAAGGCAAGUAUGCUGACACUGUGCACUGUUGCGUGGGAGCGGACGCGCUCCAUGAGGUGCGCUGUUGCAAUGUUUGGGAAGAGGUGAGAAGACUGAAUGCCCACGCAUGGAGUCCAGUGGCAAUUCCCACAUCCUUUACUCAAUUACCCUUUAAUUGGCUGUUUCCUAAGAAAUAUCUGACAACCACUUUACAUAUCUCACUUCCAGAGUCUGGUACACAAAGGAUUUAAUACUCCUGUUAUGAGAGGAAAAAAUCCUUCCUAUGUCAGAAAAUCUUUGGCUUUAGCACCAAUAAACUCUUUACUAUUGCUAAA